rnacentral:rRNA from 1 species
CCUACGGGCGGCAGCAGUGGGGAAUAUUGGACAAUGGGGGGAACCCUGAUCCAGCCAUGCCGCGUGUGUGAAGAAGGCCCUCGGGUUGUAAAGCACUUUCAGUGAGGAAGAACGCCUGGUGGUUAAUACCCAUCAGGAAAGACAUCACUCACAGAAGAAGCACCGGCUAACUCCGUGCCAGCAGCCGCGGUAAUACGGAGGGUGCGAGCGUUAAUCGGAAUUACUGGGCGUAAAGCGCGCGUAGGUGGCUUGAUAAGCCGGUUGUGAAAGCCCCGGGCUCAACCUGGGAACGGCAUCCGGAACUGUCAAGCUAGAGUGAAGGAGAGGAAGGUAGAAUUCCCGGUGUAGCGGUGAAAUGCGUAGAGAUCGGGAGGAAUACCAGUGGCGAAGGCGGCCUUCUGGACUGACACUGACACUGAGGUGCGAAAGCGUGGGUAGCAAACAGGAUUAGAUACCCGAGUAGUC